UACGUAGGUGGCAAGCGUUGUCCGGAUUUACUGGGCGUAAAGAGCGCGCAGGCGGUCGUUCAAGUCGCGUGUGAAAGCCCCCCGGCUCAACUGGGGAGGGUCACGCGAUACUGAUCGACUGGAAGGCAGGAGAGGGUAGUGGAAUUCCCCGGUGUAGUGGUGAAAUGCGUAGAUAUCGGGAGGAACACCAGUGGCGAAGGCGACUACCUGGCCUGUUCUUGACGCUGAGGCGCGAAAGCUAGGGGAGCAAACGGG
rnacentral:rRNA from 1 species